GAUGAAGAACGUAGCGAAAUGCGAUAAGUAAUGUGAAUUGCAGAAUUCAGUGAAUCAUCGAAUCUUUGAACGCACAUUGCGCCCCUUAGUAUUCCGAGGGGCAUGCCUGUUCGAGCGUCAUUACACCACUCAAGCUAUGCUUGGUAUUGGGCGUCGUCCUUAGUUGGGCGCGCCUUAAAGACCUCGGCGAGGCCACUCCGGCUUUAGGCGUAGUAGAAUUUAUUCGAACGUCUGUCAAAGGAGAGGAACUCUGCCGACUGAAACCUUUAUUUUUCUAGGUUGACCUCGGAUCAGGUAGGGAUACCCGCUGAACUUAAGCAUAUCAAUAAGCGGAGGA
rnacentral:misc_RNA from 1 species